rnacentral:rRNA from 1 species
CAGUCGCCACGGUAAUACGAAGGGGGCUAGCGUUGUUCGGAAUCACUGGGCGUAAAGCGCACGUAGGCGGACACUUAAGUCAGAGGUGAAAUCCCAAGGCUCAACCUUGGAACUGCCUUUGAUACUGGGUGUCUUGAGGUCGAGAGAGGUGAGUGGAACUGCGAGUGUAGAGGUGAAAUUCGUAGAUAUUCGCAAGAACACCAGUGGCGAAGGCGGCUCACUGGCUCGAUUCUGACGCUGAGGUGCGAAAGCGUGGGGAGCAAACAGGAUUAGAUACCCCAGUAGUCCCUGUCUCUUAUAC